UACGUAGGGGGCAAGCGUUGUCCGGAAUUAUUGGGCGUAAAGCGCGCGUAGGUGGCCACAUAAGUCCGUUGUGAAAGUCAAAGGCUCAACCUUUGAAAGCCGAUGGAUACUGUGUGGCUAGAGUCCGGAAGAGGCGAGUGGAAUUCCUGGUGUAGCGGUGGAAUGCGCAGAUAUCAGGAGGAACACCAAUAGCGAAGGCAGCUCGCUGGGACGGUACUGACGCUAAGGCGCGAAAGCGUGGGGAGCGAACAGG
rnacentral:rRNA from 1 species